CGCGCCUGGCCAAUGAAAGCUAUCUGGCAGCCAUAAAGCGCACAUCGGAGACCCCACUCUAACAUCCUUGAACCACAGAGCAAGCACCAGCAGUGUGACCUCCAGGCAUCUUCGGAUAUGAGAAAAAUAAGUCCCUGCAUGUUUGUGACACUUUUAGUCUGAUUUUUCUAUUACUUCAAGCCUAACUGACACAAUCAUGACUAAAGAACGGAGAAAAUAAAGCAGGACUAAUCAGACAGGCCAGAAGCAACAAAAAAGUCUUUCCUCUAAGAUAAAAAUGUCAGUAGGCAUCUCAAGUUUUAUUUAGCACAAUCUCUGGCUCCCAUUGCCUAUGGCAAAGUAAAGAAAAGACAACUGACUAUAGGUCAUGAUUGUUAGAUACCAACACUGAGCUGCUUUACCCUGGAAAAGUUCCUCGACUGUGUGAAUGUAGCCUCUAAAGACGCAAAUUAUCUAUUCACAGGACACAAACCUAGCCUUAAUAUUCAUUUUUUCUCUUUUAAAAAAAUUUAUUCAUAUAUGUCUGCAGUACAAGAUGACUACAUUCAUUGUGGAAAGUUGAUACGUGUCCAUUUCUUGACACCAUCAUGGAAAAAAUUAUUUAAUAUCCUCACUCUUAAGGAGAAUGGAGGUUGCUGGUCUUAUUAUUCAUCUCAAUUCAGGUCUGGCAAUCUCAGAGCUUCUUAA
rnacentral:lncRNA from 1 species